AAUCUGUAACAAGAUAAGAUAAAUCACAGAUUGUUUGAAUAAAUUAUUCGGCUUCAAAACAGUUUUAUAUUGACUUUGAAAAUUUGAUUCAUAUUCCGAACAAGUGAACUGCAGAAAUCAUGAGAAUUACAAUUUAUAUUUACAUAAUGGGCUUGUUAUUAAUUAAAUGACAAAUCAAAGCACGAUGAGUACAUAAAUACUGAUUGUUAUAUUUCCGUGAAGACUUGAUGUAAUAACUGCGUGAUAUGUUGCUUAUUAUGCUUUUGCGUCAAUAAAAUAUUCAACAAUCAUACGAUUUGUAAGAUUGCUGACACAAACCAAGUGAGAAUGCUGAAGAAAAAUAUUUUCACCAAACUGUUUGUUAUUUUUCAUAAAACUCAAGACAAAGAAUGACCAUGACAAUCAGUACACGUUUUUUAUAUUAUCAAGCAUCCAUCCCAGCUCAGCGUGAAACUCCGCAUUGUUUGUAAACUCAUUCAAAAUCUGCUGAGUUUCACUUUACACAUGAUAAGGUGUCGAAUAUAAAAACGAUUGCAGAAUUCAACUUGGCAUCAGACAAACAGCAAGUGCAACAGACAAAAACUCCAACGUUUUUUAAAAAAAGUUACAAUUGUAAUUUACCGAAGAUUUGUCCGUUACUGAAAGAUUUUGAGUGAAGUUAUUUUGAACCAGACAAUGAAUAAAAUGCAUGGAAAACUUGUCCGAGCCUUGGCCAUUUUUGCGAUUGUUUCUGCCAUUGCAAUCAGCGAUACAGACGCAUGUCACAAGUGUGGUUACGACAAGUGUUCUGGUGGCUGUUCUGUACUUCAACUCCCAGCCCCAGUUCAUCAUCAACCGACAUUCUCGCUGUGCAGCAGUUGCAACGAGCCUUGCGAUGCUCCGACCUGGUACCCAAAACCAUAUUGCGGAGGCUGUUCGAGGCGCAAGUCUAUCCGUCUAAACAAUAACUGUGGCUAUUACAAUAAUUGUGGGUGUUAAUUCAAAAAUCUG